rnacentral:rRNA from 1 species
AGGACGAACGCUGGCGGCGUGCUUAACACAUGCAAGUCGAGCGAGGCUCCUCCUUCGGGAGGAUGCCCUAGCGGCGAACGGGUGAGUAACACGUGGGCAACCUGCCCCUAGCACUGGGAUAACCCCGGGAAACCGGGGCUAAUACCGGAUACGACUUAGGAAGGCAUCUUCUGAAGUGGAAAAGGUUACUGGCUAGGGAUGGGCCCGCGGCCUAUCAGCUUGUUGGUGGGGUAAUGGCCCACCAAGGCGACGACGGGUAGCCGGCCUGAGAGGGCGACCGGCCACACUGGGACUGAGACACGGCCCAGACUCCUACGGGAGGCAGCAGUGGGGAAUAUUGCACAAUGGGCGAAAGCCUGAUGCAGCGACGCCGCGUGAGGGAUGACGGCCUUCGGGUUGUAAACCUCUUUCAGCAGGGACGAAGCGAAAGUGACGGUACCUGCAGAAGAAGCACCGGCCAACUACGCGCCAGCAGCCGC